AGAAGCUCUAUAAAUGGCUUGUUCAAUUGCUUAUGGCUCUUGACAACUUACAUGUGAAUCAUAUUCUUCAUCGAGAUGUUAAGUGUUCAAAUAUAUUCUUGGCAAAAGAUCAAGACAUACGUCUUGGUGAUUUUGGACUUGCUAUGAUGUUGACAUCAGAUGAUCUUGCAUCCUC